rnacentral:lncRNA from 1 species
CUUUACAUCCAAAAGUCUCUUCGGCGAGUUUAUCUCUUGGUAGCGAAAGCAACACCGAUGAGUCUGUGUCUUUGGACGAAUCCGAGUCUUCUCAGUAUGACCAGCUUCUUGAUUUUCUCCACCUCUCUAACGAUAUUGCAACUGAGGAAUCUGAAACUGCAAUCUCCCUAGCCUUUCUUUUCGAUCAUUUCGCGCUUCAGCUUCUAAAUGCUUACCUCAAGGAGAGUGAUGGGAUCAAUGAUCUACCUUUAAAUGAAAUGGUAGUUAACAUAUGACGUUUUAUCAAGAUGAAAAGGAUGAUAUUUCUUUCAAAUUCUUAGAUUUUUGGUUUCCUUUUGUAGGUGAUCGAUACCUUGCUCAACAGGGUAGUCAAGGAUUUCUCUGCAAUACUUGUAUCUCAAGGGACUCAGGUACUACUUACGCUGCUUCAGAUUAUAUUCGAAUGUUAAAGACACAUUUCUCCAGGGUUCAUAGUUAGUUUAUGGCAUCUUUACUUUGCAGCUGGGUUCGUUUCUAAGGAAGAUAUUGAAAUGUGACAACGGAACGAUUGCGAAUAAACAAGAGUGGUCGUUUGAUUUAUAUGUGCACACCAAUUUAUUACAUACGGCAUGAAGAACUUCAAAGGAUAGGUUAUCUAUUUUCUCUUUACCCAAAUUUCAUCUUCUCAGUAAUUUAUGAUCACGUAGUAAGAUCUCCAUCACACUCUAUGGCAGUCCAUCACGUCAAGGCCAUUGAAGUUACAUCUUCUUCUUACCACAAGGUUCUGGAGGAAAACCGCUUACUUUACAAUGAGGUCCAAGAUCUUAAAGGUGCCACCACCACCUAUUACAUUCCUUGCAUUUGAUUUUUUUUUUUUUUUUACUACUUUCUAAUGUGUUGAGUUGUGUUAUCGAUGUACUAUAGGAACCAUAAGAGUAUACUGCAGAGUCAGACCUUUCUUACAAGGAACAACAGAUAUGCAAUCAACCGUGGAUUAUAUUGGAGAAAAUGGCAAUAUUAUGAUUGUCAAUCCUUUUAAGCAGGAAAAAGAUUCAAGGAAAAUAUUUGCCUUCAACAAAGUUUUUGGACAGAACGUUUCACAAGGUAUACUACUUUCAUGAUGCUUCUUGUAUCUAUUGUCUAUUACACUGAUCAAUGGUUUUUUACUUUCCAGAGCAAAUAUACAUUGACACUCAGCCCGUAAUAAGGUCUGUCCUUGAUGGAUUCAAUGUUUGCAUCUUCGCGUAUGGACAAACUGGUUCAGGGAAAACAUAUACAAUGGUAUCAUCUAUAUCUAUCUGCUUCCCCGUAGAUUGUCAGGGAUGCCGUAUCUAUAGUAUUACCAUCUUCCCUUGCAGAGUGGGCUGCAAUGAUCAAGGAUUGCUAUCUUCAAAACAUUAAAUUAAUUUUCUGACUUUCAUUGUUGAGCUUAGGUGGUGGAGAAUCCUGUCACAUUGGCGAUUCAGUAUGCCGAAGGAGCGGCUCAAUCCGCAAUUCAAUAUUUUGAGAACAUGAGGAACUUUCUUAAAGCUGUAGAGGAUAUGCAACUUUUGACAUUUGGAGCUUCUGAUCUUGAAAAGGUUUUUGUUACUUCAAUUUUUGUUGGUCCAUUUUGUAACAUGUUUUGAGGAUAUAAAAUGUUGUUUUUUUUUGCAGGGAGGUUCAUCGAACAAAGUAGUAGAUUGCAUUUUGUGUUUGAAAGGGUUUUACGAGUGGAAACAAGCAGGUGGAGUUGGAGUGUGGAGGUAUGGCGGAACAGUGAGGAUAGUCUCUUUACAUCCAAAAGUCUCUUCGGCGAGUUUGUCUCUUGGUAGCGAAAGCAACACCGAUGAGUCUGUGUCUUUGGACGAAUCUGAGUCUUCUCAGUAUGACCACCUUCUUGAUUUUCUCCACCUCUCUAACGAGUUUGCAACUGAGGAAUCUGAAACUGCAAUCUCCCUAGCCUUUCUUUUCGAUCAUUUCGCGCUUCAGCUUCUAAAUGCUUACCUCAAGGAGAGUGAUGGGAUCAAUGAUCUACCUUUAAAUGAAAUGGUAGUUAACAUAUGACGUUUUAUCAAGAUGAAAAGGAUGAUAUUUCUUUCAAACUAGUCAGUGAUGGUUCUUCCAGAAGAUAUCCUUUCAUAUAGUUUAAAAAUGAAAAGUUGUAUUGAAUUGUCUACAUUACUCUCUUCGAGUUUUUUUCUUAACCAGUUUCUCACGUUAGACAUACGCAAUAAUUCUCAACUCAAUGGACUUAAUGUACCUGACGCAAGCCUGGUUCCGGUUUCUAGUACUCGAGAUGUUCUUGAUUUGAUGAGGAUUGGCCAAAAGAACCGAGCAGUGGGCGCCACUGCUCUAAAUGAGAGAAGCAGCCGUUCCCACAGGUAUCAAAGCUCUAAACUUAUCCUAUGAUUAGACGAAUCCGAGUCUUCUCAGUAUGACCAGCUUCUUGAUUUUCUCCACCUCUCUAACGAUAUUGCAACUGAGGAAUCUGAAACUGCAAUCUCCCUAGCCUUUCUUUUCGAUCAUUUCGCGCUUCAGCUUCUAAAUGCUUACCUCAAGGAGAGUGAUGGGAUCAAUGAUCUACC